rnacentral:lncRNA from 1 species
AAUAAUUGUAUCAUCUCUCCUAGUGAUUCUCUCAGGAGUAUAUAUGCUGUUUCACACUGAGUAAAGGAAGAUGACUGUGAUUACUCUUAUCCUCUUUUCAUGAUCAAGAUCCAGCCUUUGAUCCCAAGGCUUUCAACAAGUCUCAAUAUAAAUCAUGGAAGAAAUACUCUCUCUCUCUCUCUCUCUCUCUCUCUCUCUCUCUCUCACUCACUCAC